CUUGAACGCUGGCGGCAGGCUUAACACAUGCAAGUCGAGCGGGGGAGGUUGCUUCGGUAACUGACCUAGCGGCGGACGGGUGAGUAAUGCUUAGGAAUCUGCCUAUUAGUGGGGGACAACAUUCCGAAAGGAAUGCUAAUACCGCAUACGCCCUACGGGGGAAAGCAGGGGAUCUUCGGACCUUGCGCUAAUAGAUGAGCCUAAGUCGGAUUAGCUAGUUGGUGGGGUAAAGGCCUACCAAGGCGACGAUCUGUAGCGGGUCUGAGAGGAUGAUCCGCCACACUGGGACUGAGACACGGCCCAGACUCCUACGGGAGGCAGCAGUGGGGAAUAUUGGACAAUGGGCGGAAGCCUGAUCCAGCCAUGCCGCGUGUGUGAAGAAGGCCUUUUGGUUGUAAAGCACUUUAAGCGAGGAGGAGGCUCUUAAGGUUAAUACCCUUGAUGAGUGGACGUUACUCGCAGAAUAAGCACCGGCUAACUCUGUGCCAGCAGCCGCCGUAAAAC
rnacentral:rRNA from 1 species